CUCUCUAUCUCUCACGCCUCUGUCUUUCUCUCACCUCUUUAUCGCUCACCCCUCUCUGUCUUUCUCUUACCCCUCUCUGUCUUUCUCUCACCCCUUUCUGUCUUUCUCUCACCCCUCUAUCUUUCACCCCUCUCUGUCUUUCUCUCACCCCUCUCUGGAACUUUUAAAGUAGAAAAACAAAACCACUUUUUAUUCUUUAGGCCUUUGCAAGGUCAAUGAUUUAAACAUUAAAUAUUUCUGAUAUCCACAACCUGAUGCUCACAAAAACCUACAUUGGAAACCACAGUGGGUUUGACACAUCUAUAUAUAUAUGUUUUACCUCAACAGUGUAGCUAGAGCAACAGGAAAUGGAAGUUAAGGAAGUAAAGUUGGUUAUUGUAAUUGUUGCGGUACUAUUUGGGGGCAUAAGGAAUGACUACCUUUCACAUUGUCCUAAUUGUGAUCAUCCUUCUCAAAGUCCCUCAUCAGGCUUUCUGUCAUGUAUGGGUGGACCAGGACCCUGUGGUGACCAGCACACUGGGCCAGAAAGUCUCCAUGGGAUGCCGUGUCCUGUCGGACAGCGGGGAGCUGAUCACUGGCUGCAGGGCAGAGUGGUACAUCAACACGGCCACACAUGGCCAGAGGAAGGUGUGGAGGGAGAUGGGUGACUUGCCCCGAUUCAAGGGGAGGUUUCAGAAAACCUAUGACCUGAACACAACAGAUACAAGCAUCCUGAUGAUCUGGUUAGAGCUGCAUGACAUAGGCUACUACUUCUGCACUCUUCAGUGCUGCGUCAAUGGGAAGGACAAGCAGUACCAUGGCAAUGGGACAAGACUCCUCAUCAGCGAGGCUACACACACACCUUAUGGGUUAAUAUUUACCUCAGUUAUCCCAGGUGCAGAAGAGGAGAAUACUUCAGAGAUGCAACUCUUUUAUUUUUAUGCUUUUCUGGCAGUGAAGCUGUUGGUCAUCAUAGUGCUUGGAGGACUCACAAUCAGUUCUUAAAGAUGUAAUUUGGACAAUUUAAAGGUUAAAUAAAAAAAUGUGAAGUAGUUAAUCAAUUCAUUAAUGGAAAAAAGCCCAACAUAUUGUAUGGUCAUUAUAUUAGUCAUGAAUUAGAACUCCUUUCUAGGGAGUUUUUCCUAGCCACUGUGCUUCUACACCUGCAUUGCUUGCUGUUUGGGGUUUUAGGCUGGGUUUCUGUACAGCACUUUGAGAUAUCAGCUGAUGUACGAAGGGCUAUAUAAAUACAUUUGAUUUGAUUUAGUUUGUACUUUUAGUAUUGCACUGAA
ensembl:lncRNA